rnacentral:rRNA from 1 species
GACGAACGCUGGCGGCGUGCUUAACACAUGCAAGUCGAACGGUAAGGCCCUUCGGGGUACACGAGUGGCGAACGGGUGAGUAACACGUGGGUGAUCUGCCCUGCACUUCGGGAUAAGCCUGGGAAACUGGGUCUAAUACCGGAUAGGACCACUGCCUGCAUGGGUGGUGGUGGAAAGCUUUUGCGGUGUGGGAUGGGCCCGCGGCCUAUCAGCUUGUUGGUGGGGGGAUGGCCUACCAAGGCGACGACGGGUAGCCGGCCUGAGAGGGUGACCGGCCACACUGGGACUGGGAUACGGCCCAGACUCCUACGGGAGGCAGCAGUGGGGAAUAUUGCACAAUGGGCGCAAGCCUGAUGCAGCGACGCCGCGUGAGGGUUGACGGCCUUCGGGUUGUAAACCUCUUUCAGCACCGACGAAGCGCAAGUGACGGUAGGUGCAGAAGAAGGACCGGCCAACUACGUGCCAGCAGCCGCCGUAA